GCAUAUCAAUAAGCGGAGGAAAAGAAACUAACAAGGAUUCCCCUAGUAACGGCGAGUGAAGAGGGAAAAGCCCAAGAUUGAAAGCUGGCGUCUUCGGCGUCCGCAUUGUAAUCUCAAGAAGUGUUUUCCGCUUCGGACCAAGCCUAAGUCCCUUGGAAAAGGGCAUCGUAGAGGGUGAAAAUCCCGUACAUGGUUUGGAGCGCCCGGAGCUUUGUGAUACGCUUUCUAAGAGUCGAGUUGUUUGGGAAUGCAGCUCAAAAUGGGUGGUAAAUGCCAUCUAAGGCUAAAUAUUGGGGAGAGACCGAUAGCGAACAAGUACAGUGAUGGAAAGAUGAAAAGAACUUUGAAAAGAGAGUUAAACAGUACGUGAAAUUGCCAAAAGGGAAGGGUAGGAGGUCAGAGAUGCGGUCUGGGAUUCAGCCUUGCUUUUGCUUGGUGUUUUUCCCAGUUUGCAGGCCAACGUCGGUUUUGGGCACUGGAGAAGGGUGGGAGGAACGUGGCACUCUUCGGAGUGUGUUAUAGCCUCCUACUGGAUACAGCGACCGAGACCGAGGAACGCAGCGUACUCGAAAGAGCGGGCCCUCGGGCACCUUUACGCUUAGGACGUUGGCAUAAUGGCCCUCUACCACCCGUCUUGAAACACGGACCA
rnacentral:rRNA from 2 species